CCUACGGGUGGCAGCAGUGGGGAAUCUUGGACAAUGGGCGCAAGCCUGAUCCAGCCAUGCCGCGUGAGUGACGAAGGCCUUAGGGUUGUAAAGCUCUUUUGCCGGGGACGCGGUACCCGGAGAAUAAGUCCCGGCUAACUUCGUGCCAGCAGCCGCGGUAAUACGAAGGGGACUAGCGUUGUUCGGAAUUACUGGGCGUAAAGCGCACGUAGGCGGAUUUGUUAGUCAGGGGUGAAAUCCCGGGGCUCAACCUCGGAACUGCCUUUGAUACUGCAAGUCUCGAGUCCGAUAGAGGUGGGUGGAAUUCCUAGUGUAGAGGUGAAAUUCGUAGAUAUUAGGAAGAACACCGGUGGCGAAGGCGGCCCACUGGAUCGGACUGACGCUGAGGUGCGAAGCGUGGGGAGCAACAGGAUUAGAUACCCUUGUAGUC
rnacentral:rRNA from 1 species